rnacentral:SRP_RNA from 1 species
GCCGGGCGCGGUGGUGAGCGCCUGCAGUUCCAGCUACUCGGGAGGCUGAGGCCGGAGGAUCGCUUGAGGCCAGGAGUUCUGGGCUGUAGUGCGCUAUGCCGAUCGGGUGUCCGCGCUAAGUUUGGCAUCAGUAUGGUGACCUCCCGGAAGGGCCACCAGGUUGCCUAAGGAGGGGUGAACCGGCCCAGGUCGGAGACGGAGCAGGUCAAAGCUCCCAUGCUGACCAGCAGUGGGAUUGCGCCUGUGAAUAGACACUGCACUCCAGCCCGGGCAGCAUAGCGAGCCCCGUCUCUU